AUGGGGAUGACUCGAGUCUCUUGGACAGUCCUUCUUUUAAACCACAUCCUUUGGUUAAUUUUACGUAUAUUUGUGCGCCGGACAAGAUUCCUCUGGUUUUAUAUGAGGGAGCACAAAUGAGUCAUUUGGAUUUGGAGAGCAAGUAGGCAGCUGUGCAGGCUAUCCAAACCAAAGUAAUUGUGGAAAUGCGGAGUACAAAGUCACCAAGUGUCUGAUGACUUGUACAACCUGGGAGAAAUCUUGUCCAUCUCAGCUUGGGUAUGUCUCUGCAAAAAACAGAGGGAUGCCCUUGAC